AAACGACUAAACCUUUUUUUUUCAAAAACAGUUUCUGAAACAUUUUCUGAAAUGAUUUGAACAUGGAUUUUCUUUGAUAAAUUUAAUUCAUUUGAAAAAGUUGUCCUUCAUGGAAAGGGCGGGUGGUGGAGGGUCCAAAUAAAUAAAACAUAUAUCUAUAUAAAAUCUAAUAAAAACCUACAAAAACAUAAAAUGUAAUAAAAUAUCAACAAAUUCAUCUUCAUUAUCCCCCACGUUGCUCCACCUCCUUGUGGGAGGAGCCAGGCGGAGCCACGGAUCAGACUCCUCCAUCUCAUCCCACCAACUCUGUCAGUCCACCAGGCCACACCAGUAACAGCCAUAUCUUCACGUCACAAAGCUUCAGUACCAUCUGAAUGCGUUGAAGCACCAUCCAGCCUCCUGUUGCAACCUCAUUGUGAAACAGCAUUGACCCGUGAUCACCACCAACCAGAGCUCCACAGCAGUUGCCUUGGACACCCAGUGAAACAGCACUGACCCGUGAUCACCACCAACCAGGGAUCCACAGUGGUAGCCUUGGACACCCAGGCUUCACUCAAGAUCAACAAAAGGACAUUUGGAAGGAUCCCAUUGAGCAAAGUAAACAACGAUAUGUUUUUUAAUGUCUUUUGCUCGUAGGGAUGACUUCCCGAGAGAGCACACCAGGCAGCAUGGAGCACUUUGAUGUGAUUGGCUGUUCAGCAGGAAGUUUCAUCUGGCUACACAGACGGGAUGAUGAAUCUGACAGAGAAUGUUUUUUUUAAAUAAAUAUUAUAAAAAGAUGGAAAGUA